rnacentral:tRNA from 2 species
GGUCCGUUCGUCUAGGGGUUAGGACACCACCCUUUCACGGUGGAGACACGGGUUCGAUUCCCGUACGGACUA